UUGGAGGGCAAGUCUGGUGCCAGCAGCCGCGGUAAUUCCAGCUCCAAUAGCGUAUAUUAAAGUUGUUGCAGUUAAAAAGCUCGUAGUUGAAUUUCGGGACCAAUUUGUUGGUCGUGCCUCGGUACGUACUGGUAUUAUUGGUUUCUCCCUUCUGAAGAACCUUGAUGUCAUUAAUUUGGUGUCUUGGGGAAUCAGGACUGUUACUUUGAAAAAAAUUAGAGUGUUUUAAAAGCAGGGCUAA
rnacentral:rRNA from 1 species